CUACCGGGGUAUCUAAUCCUGUUUGCUCCCCACGCUUUCGCACCUCAGCGUCAGUACCGGACCAGUGAGCCGCCUUCGCCACUGGUGUUCUUCCUAAUAUCUACGAAUUCCACCUCUACACUAGGAGUUCCACUCACCUCUUCCGGACUCUAGGUCGCCAGUAUCAAAGGCAGUUCUGGAGUUGAGCUCCAGGAUUUCACCCCUGACUUAACGACCCGCCUACGUGCGCUUUACGCCCAGUAAAUCCGAACAACGCUAGCCCCCUUCGUAUUACCGCGGCUGCUGGCAC
rnacentral:rRNA from 1 species